rnacentral:rRNA from 1 species
CCUACGGGGGGCAGCAGUGGAGAAUAAUGCACAAUGGGGGAAACCCUGAUGGGGCGACGCCGCGUGGGGGAAUGAAGGUCUGCGGAUUGUAAACCCCUGUCAUGUGGGAGCAAGUUAAAAAGAUAGUACCACAAGAGGAAGAGACGGCUAACUCUGGGCCAGCAGCCGCGGUAAUACAGAGGUCUCAAGCGUUGUUCGGAAUCACUGGGCGUAAAGGGUGUGUAGGCGGUUUGGUAAGUCGGGUGUGAAAGGCGCGGGCUCAACCCGCGGACGGCACCUGAUACUGCGAGACUAGAGUAAUGGAGGGGGAACCGGAAUUCUCGGUGUAGCGGUGAAAUGCGUAGAUAUCGAGAGGAACACUCGUGGCGAAGGCGGGUUCCUGGACAUUAACUGACGCUGAGGCACGAAGGCCAGGGGAGCGAAAAGGAUUAGAUACCCUGGUAGUC